rnacentral:piRNA from 1 species
UGCGACUCAUCUUGGGNGUUUUUGGAGGA